GUAUUUUCUUCCCUCCCUCUGCCCCCUCCUGGCCCCUCCCCUCCCCUCCCCCUUCCUCCGUGCCCCCGACGAUAUUCCUAUGAAUGGGAACUAAUAGAGAGCGUGGUCUCAGAUCUCACCGUCUAUUAACAAAAAUCGGCCCAGGAUACAGAGUUCAGUGCAGUAUGAAAUGCAGCUUUGAGAAGAGCUGUAAGGUUGCAGGAGACAGUAAGAAAAUACAGAGUAGCUGUUGCAGCAAAAGUCCCGGUGAAUACCUGGAUGACAACAGGCACUUUAGCCCGAUGAUGAGGGCAUCCUGUUUGGUUAAAAGGGGCAGUGACAAGGAAAUGCUUUUAUUGAAACAGAGAAACAUAAAAAACAUGCUUUCAAAACCUGUGGUUUAAAAAAGAAGAAUAGAUCUGUAGAAAGGUGGACUUAUAGUUGGGAUUUGGAUGUGAGAAUGAGUCAUACUGUGGUGGGUCUGCAGGCAUUCCCCCGCCCCCCUUCUUCAGUAGCCCAGGUACUUUGCGGAGUGCUGACUGCUCCCCAGCAACAAGUCCUCAGUCGCCUGAAGCCAGUGGCAGUGGGGGAAUGUGGUCCUGAUUGGUUCUGGCAGACACUCUGCAGUCCUGUUGAAGAGGAUCCUUGAGAUGAAGCAGAUAUCCCAGAAAGUGGAGCAGAAAGAAGGAAACAGUCCGCACUAAAUCUGGCAACCACGGAGCCUCCUCUAUCUCUGGACUUCCGAUGACUGGGGCUAAUAAACCUACUUUGUUGUUUGUGCUGUUCCACUUUGCUCUCUUGGCCCUCAUGACAUAAAAAGAGUCCUAACUCACUGCAACAUGAAAGAAGAAAGCAGAAUGGAGUGAAAUCAAACCAGCAAAGGGUGGAAAUCAUGAGAAAAAUCUAACCAUAAAUAAAAAUAAGAAUUAGAGCGAGAGUAUCCAUGCUUUGCAAAAGUUCGUCAAAUGAUAAGAAACCCUUUUGUAAAUAGGUUUUAUGAUUUUUUUUUUUUGGUCAAAAAUGGAUAAUGAUUAAAAAUAUCUUGUUAACUUUUCAAAAAUAUGCAUUAAAGGAGCGAACCAAUAGCAGAUCCAAAGUGAUUUAGGUAAAUCUGUCCUAGGAGUUCACAAUGAGAAGCCUAGUAACAGUCAUUAACAUACUCAGGUCGGGUCACUAAUACUGCAUUUACAAGUCUACAGUUUUCUUGUUUAUUUUAAAGUAUAUUCAGUUAAGGCAUAAAUCUUUUUUGAUUCCAUACUGAAGGUGUCUGUAAGCAAUUUUGUGAAAGAAAAGGAACUUUAAGAGACAGAGUGAAUCUAAGGUGAGCCCAGACCUUAUCCAAGUGACCAGAAAUAUUAGGGCAGUACUUCUUUUAUUUAAAAAAUAAUCUUGACAUGUAAAAAGCAACAGAAAGGAAAAAUAUUGUAGGAUUCCACUUUUUUAAGGUAUCCAGAAUAUGUAAAUUCAUAGAGACAAAGAGUAGAGGUUAUCAGGGACUAGGGAGAAAGGAGAACGGGGAGUUACUAUUUAAUGGAUACAAGGUUUCUGUUUGGGAAGAUGAAAAAGUUCUGUUUCACAACAUUGUGAAUGUACUUAACAAGCCAUUGAAGUGUACACUGAAAAAUGGUUAAAUGGAAAAUUUCAUGGUAUGUAUAUUUUAUCACAAUAACCCUUGAUAGAACAAAAUUUGAUGCACAGAUUCAAUUAUAAAUGCUUCCAUUUUUCCCCACAACAGUAAGUGUCUAUGUGAGGUGGGCAGAGGAUGAACAGAAGCUGGGUGGGGGUCCAGGAGGGGCCAGGAGAAGCAGCAUGAGUGUGGGUCAGGACAUGAUUCUCUCUUUCUCUUUAAUGUUUUAUUGUUUUAUUUAAUGUACAAAAAUUAAUGUCACUGUGUGACAUAAUUUCAAAGCACCUUAGUUUAAAAAAAAUGCAAAACAUCAACAUCUAGCUUUUAAAAUAUAAUGGGGCACUUUGGCAUCAGCCUAUCUCCAGAUAGAG
rnacentral:lncRNA from 1 species